GUAAAACAAGGCAUUUAGCAUUAUAAGUUCUCCAAAUUUGACUUUUCUCUAGGCCUACCUCGGGCACAACGAGGCACCCAAAUUAGGAAGCAAUUUAUAUUCCCACACAAUGUGUUUAAAUAUCGUAAUAUUAUUUAUAAGAAUCUGCACUAACUUCUUAUCUUUUAUUUUUCUUUUCUUUUUUUAUUCCCCUUCCCAAAGGUUAGCUCAUGCAUUCCGGCACCAUCAACAUACUCAACAAGAUCUAUGGGUCCUCCACAUCCUCCUCCCCCAAGUCCUACCAGAAACAGGAAAAAAGACAAAAUGGGAGAUACAACCACUAGAAAGGAAGUUGAGGAAACUAGUUAGAAUGCCGUAAGUACCAAGGAGACUGUUGCUCAUCUAGAGAAAACUUUGCUAAGAUUCCGAGAGGAGUUGGACCAUGUUAGAAACCUGGCAAGCCUGUGAAUCACUCUUGCCACUGCUGAUGUCAACACCCAGAAACCCGCACCUCCACAAAACAACCCACAACCUCUAAUG
rnacentral:lncRNA from 1 species